UGAGCAGAGUGCAGAGCCCUGAACUAACAACUGUGGGCAGAAAGACGACUGCUUUGAGCAAGAUCAGCCAGAAUUCCUCAAGGAACACUUCCUGAAAUUCAGUGCACUGAAGUCUUUUUUAAAUGUCUGGACUUUUACUCCUUUAAACUGAAGUCACCAUGGUGGAAUAAACACGAGAGAGCUUCCUAGGAAGAGAUCUCUGCCUCAGUUCACUGGUACAACACACAGAGCCUCUGGCAGGUACAAUUCAAACUGCUGAAGCUGAGACACAAAAGCACCUUCUCAAGUGACAGCCAGGCAGCAUCUACAAUGGAAAUUCACAACUACAAAUCCCCAGCACCUCCAUGGGCAAGGUAAAAGUUGGAUUUGUCUCUACCAGCAAAACAAAAACAAGGCACAGGAAUGGCUGAGGCAUCAGAGAAGCUCUCAAAGCCUCCCCACUGCCCUGACUUUGGAUCUGAGCUGUCAGCAGCUCCUGUUCAGAUUGCUGUGUGAACACAACAUGGCUCUGUGUCUUUGGAAGUAUUCUGGAAAGUCACUGUAAUUACAGAGUACAAUAAAAACAACAAUGGACCACUAA